CCUACGGGAGGCAGCAGUCGAGAAUAAUUCACAAUGGGGGCAACCCUGAUGGUGCAACGCCGCGUGGAGGAUGACGGUCUUCGGAUUGUAAACUCCUGUCAUCUGGGAGUAAGGCAUGGUUGUGAAUAGCAAACAUGAUUGAUAGUACCAGAAGAGGAAGGGACGGCUAACUUCGUGCCAGC
rnacentral:rRNA from 1 species